GACGAACGCUGGCGGCGUGCUUAACACAUGCAAGUCGAACGGAAAGGCCCUGCUUUUGUGGGGUGCUCGAGUGGCGAACGGGUGAGUAACACGUGAGUAACCUGCCCUUGACUUUGGGAUAACUUCAGGAAACUGGGGCUAAUACCGGAUAGGAGCUCCUGCUGCAUGGUGGGGGUUGGAAAGUUUCGGCGGUUGGGGAUGGACUCGCGGCUUAUCAGCUUGUUGGUGGGGUAGUGGCUUACCAAGGCUUUGACGGGUAGCCGGCCUGAGAGGGUGACCGGCCACAUUGGGACUGGGGAACCGGCCCGACCUCUUCGGGGGGCAAGCGGGGGGAAUAAUGCAACAAGGGGCGGAGGCCUGAUGAGCAACCCCCGGGUGGGGAAUGCCGGCUUUGGGGUGGAAAACCGCUUUGGCCGUGAACGAGGCGUAGGUGCCGGUAUUGGUGAAGGAAGCACCGCUUACUUAGGG
rnacentral:rRNA from 1 species